AGGACGACUUGUAGUUUGUUCUUAAAUCUCGCAAGUUAAACUUCAGAGUGAUUUUUUUUUUGUAUUUUUUACCAGUGCCAAGUUAUAUAGAAUUUGUGAAAAUGACCUCCUACACAGAUAAAGGCCCUAAGCCCGAUGGAGGACGUUUCUUGUGCUUCGAUCACAUUACAUUUUGGGUGGGAAAUGCCAAACAGGCUGCCAGUUAUUACACCACUCGCUUAGGAUUCCAACCACUCGCCUAUCAAGGAUUGGAGACCAAUUCCCGCAAAGUUGUGAAGCACGCAGUGAAACAGAAUAAAAUUGUUUUUGUAUUCGUUUCCGCGUACGAGCCAGACAACACCGAAAUUGGGGAUCAUCUCGUGCGCCAUGGAGAUGGAACAAAGGACAUUGCAUUCGAAGUAGAUGAUCUCAAUGUAAUUGUGCAGAGAGCUAAGCAACGUGGAGCUAAACUCAUCCGAGACAUCUGGGAGGAGCAGGAUGAGUAUGGAAAGGUGCGUUUUGCUGUUGUUCAGACCUUUGGGGAUACAACACACACAUUUGUGGAGCGUUCUCAGUACCGUGGUGUCUUCUUGCCGGGCUUCAAGCCACCCAUGGAUGGGGAGGAUCCUCUGCUAAAGCAUUUACCGCCAAUUGGACUCAAUUUUAUCGAUCACACCGUUGGCAAUCAGCCAGAUCUUCAGAUGGAAAGCGUGGCUGCUUGGUAUGAGAAAACUCUAAUGUUCCAUCGCUUCUGGUCUGUGGAUGAUUCGCAGAUCCAUACGGAAUACUCAGCUCUAAGGUCCAUUGUGAUGACCAAUUAUGAGGAGACAGUGAAGAUCCCAAUCAAUGAGCCCGCCAAUGGGAAGAAAAAGUCUCAGAUUCAGGAGUAUGUGGACUACUACGGUGGUGCUGGUAUUCAGCAUAUUGCCCUCAAUACGAAUGAUAUUAUAACGGCCAUUAGGAAUUUGAGAGCACGCGGAAUGCACUUCCUGACCAUCCCAGACUCCUACUAUGAGAUACUCAAGAAGAGACUCCAGGAAAGUGGUGUGAAGAUCAAGGAGGAUCUUAAGAUUUUGCAAGAAUUGCAGAUUCUCAUUGAUUAUGACGAGAAUGGGUAUCUUCUGCAAAUCUUCACCAAAAAUAUGCAAGAUCGUCCCACUCUCUUCAUUGAGGUCAUCCAGAGACACAAUCACAAUGUAAGUGAAUGAAAAAUUGUUUUUGAAAAAUUCGCAAUCUUGAAUUUUUCAAGGUCAAAGUUUAAUCACUUUAGGGAGAGCUUAGUACUCAACCGAUUUGAUCAAGAAUGAAUUUAAUUGAAAGGUUUUGGAAUUUUCAACGCGGUUGCAUCAGUUCCAACUGAUAAUGGAGUGGUAUUUCCGGUAUUUCUGUAACAUUUAUGUUUUGCUUGUAUGAGUAUGAGAUAUCAAGGGGUACUCAAGUAAUCAGAUUGACUCGAAUUUUUACUUCCCCGAUAUGUUAUAUGGGUUCCCCGAGUCCCCUGAAAAAAAAUGAGUUCCCCGUGACUUUCCUGAAACAUGCGAUCCCCGGAUUCCACAAAAAAAUAAUGGUUCUCUGGGUUCCCUGAAAAAACGAAUCGGUUCUCCGUGAGUUCCUUGAAAAAAAAAUUAUAGGAUCCCCAAGAAUUUUAUGGGCUCCCUGUGAGUUCCCUAGAAGCGAAUGGGUUCCCCGUGAAUUUCCUAAAAAAAAUUUAUGGGUUUCCCGCGUUACCCGGCUUCUUGGGUAAGAAUGGUUCUAGUACCCCGAAAUAAGUUGCCCCUUGUAAAAUAUCGACUUUCGAAGUUCAAUGACCCUUUAUAAGAACGGAUUUUGAAUCUUUUUUUUUCUAAUUUUGUUGCGUUUUCGGAUAAGUUUUGGAAGUAGUACAAACAGUCCGGGUGGAUAAUUCAGCUCGUCCUGAAUAAAAAACUUUGUAACUUUGUAAAAAAAUGGCAAAACGUCCCGUCUUUGCGGAAUGCUCGAACUCACGAGAAAGAGCUAUCCGUGUAUUGAAUUUUCGUAUGGUUUUUGGUACAUACGGCUUUAGUACCGAUUAAAUUGAUUGAUAAAUUAAAAAAAAACAUCCCGAAAUGACGAAUUGCAAAACAAAAAAUAAGUUUUAUUAUAUUUCAGCAUGAAUAACGAGCUUUCGAACAAAUAAAACAGUAAAUUCGAAAAAGGUAAAUCUUGGUAACUAUAACGACUCAUGACGAAUUAAGUCCAAUGCAGUCGGGUUAGAAAUUUCAAGAUCUUUCAAAAAAUCCAAAUUUAAGGAAAUCGGUUGAAAUAUAGGCCCUUCAGUAGUUAAACUUCGAUCUUCUAAAAUUCGAUAUCGAAAUGGUUUUCGGACAUAGGUGUCCAAGAACGAAAUAUGCGCCUUAUUUGACUACCUCUAAAAUCUAAAACAUAUUCGAAAAUGAAAGAAAUCGUAGGAGCCGUUUUCUAAAUAAACAAAAAAAAACUUAGUUUUGGAGGGGGUAGGAGGGGGUGGGAAAAAAGACUGUCCUAAAUAAUAUUGACUUAUGGGGGGUCGUCGAAGACCGAAAGUCGAUAUCACUUACCGUUUGGCCUCUAGCCGUGUCCCCAAGUUGAAAAAAAGUGGAUUAUAUAACUGCUCUCUCUCUCUCUCUGAGCUGGAGCAGUAAAAAAAAAUAACGACUGAAUUACUCACUCUGACUCUAUUUACGCAGGGUUCUAAUUUUAUCUAAUUUUAUCACCAACUUAAAGGAAAAAUUCACUUCCAUUUUUUCUGACAAGGGUUUCUGGUUUCUCGGAUUUCGCGAUGCAGAAAUUGGGUUUCUUCCGUUUCGCGAUGCAAAUCUUAGUUCUCGGGUUUCGCGAUGCAGACAUUGAGUUCCUCGAUGCAGAAAUAGGGUUUCUCGGGUUUCAGGAUUCAAAUCUUGGGUUUCUUGGCGCGGAAAUUGGGUUUCUCGGGUUUCGCGAUGAAAAUCUGGGGUUUCUCGGGUUUCGCGAUGCAGACAUUGGGUUUCUCGAUGCAGAAAUAGGUUUUCUCGGGUUUCGGGAUCCAAAUCUUGGGUUUCUCGGUGCAGAAAUUGGGUUUCUCGGGUUUCGCGAUGCAAAUCUUGGGUUUCUCGAGUUUCUCAAUGCAGAAAUUGGGUUUCUCGAUGCAGAAAUAGGUUUUCUCGGGUUUCGCGAUGCAGACAUUGUGUUUCUCGGUGCAGAAAUAGGGUUUCUCGGGUUUCGGGAUGCAAAUCUUGGAUUUCUCGGUGCAGAAAUUGGGUUUCUCGGGUUUCGCGAUGCAAAUCUGGGAUUUCUCGGGUUUCGCGAUGCAGACAUUGGGUUUCUCGAUGCAGAAAUAGGUUUUCUCGGGUUUCGGGAUGCAAAUCUUGGGUUUCUCGGUGCAGAAAUUGGGUUUCUCGGGUUUCGCGAUGCAAAUCUUGGGUUUCUCGAGUUUCUCAAUGCAGAAAUUGGGUUUCUCGAUGCAGAAAUAGGUUUUCUCGGGUUUCGCGAUGCAGACAUUGUGUUUCUCGGUGCAGAAAUAAGGUUUCUCGGGUUUCAGGAUGCAAAUCUUGGGUUUCUCGGUGCAGAAAUUGGGUUUCUCGGGUUUCGGGAUGCAAAUCUUGGGUUUCUCGGUGCAGAAAUAGGGUUUCUCGGGUUUCAGGAUGCAAAUCUUGGGUUUCUUGGUGCAGAAAUUGGAUUUCUCAGUUUUCGGGAUGCAAAUCUUGGGUUUCUCAGUUUUCACGAAGCGUUUCUAGAACAAUUGACAAGAAUUUCUCAAUAUGAGUUACCCCUUGACCAACUUAAAUUCCAAACUUGAUACUUUCCUUUUUCGAAUUGGAUCACAAUAAGAAUCUCCCAUUCCAUGAAAUAAAACAGCCUUUUCAUUGGUUUUUCGUAAUUUUAUAAGAAAUAUAUAAUUUGUACAAUUCAUGGCAAAUCGAAUAAAAAUAUUUUUUUAUCAAUUACAGGGCUUCGGAGCUGGAAACUUCAAAUCACUGUUUGAGGCCAUUGAGCUGGACCAGGCCAAGAGGGGAAAUUUGUAAAGAUUUAACAGGAUAUAUCAAUAAAGUUGCUUGUAGAUCA